rnacentral:rRNA from 1 species
AACCUGCCUGUUACCACGGCACAGCCCGUCGAAAGGCGGAUUAAUGCCGUAUGUGGUCCUAAGCGGGCAUCUAAUUAGGACUAAAGGAUUGGCGGUAACGGAUGGGGAUGCGUCCGAUUAGCUUGACGGCGGGGUAACGGCCCACCGUGGCGACGAUCGGUAGGGGUUCUGAGAGGAAGGUCCCCCACAUUGGAACUGAGACACGGUCCAAACUCCUACGGGAGGCAGCAGUGAGGAAUAUUGGUCAAUGGGCGAGAGCCUGAACCAGCCAAGUAGCGUGAGGGAAGACUGCCCUAUGGGUUGUAAACCUCUUUUGUGCGGGGAUAAAGUGUGGGACGUGUCCCUCAUUGCAGGUACCGCACGAAUAAGGACCGGCUAAUUCCGUGCCAGCAGCCGCGGUAAUACGGAAGGUCCGGGCGUUAUCCGGAUUUAUUGGGUUUAAAGGGAGCGCAGGCCGUCCUUUAAGCGUGCUGUGAAAUGCCGCGGCUCAACCGUGGCACUGCAGCGCGAACUGGAGGACUUGAGUACGCACGAGGUAGGCGGAAUUCGUGGUGUAGCGGUGAAAUGCUUAGAUAUCACGAAGAACUCCGAUUG